rnacentral:rRNA from 1 species
AACGAACGCUGGCGGCAGGCCUAACACAUGCAAGUCGAGCGAGAUCUUCGGAUCUAGCGGCGGACGGGUGAGUAACGCGUGGGAACGUACCUUUUGCUACGGAAUAGCCUCGGGAAACUGGGAGUAAUACCGUCUGUGCCCUUCGGGGGAAAGAUUUAUCGGCAAAAGAUCGGCCAGCGUUGGAUUAGGUAGUUGGUGAGGUAACGGCGCACCAAGCCGACGAUCCAUUGCUGGUUUGGGAAGAUGAUCAGCCACACUGGGACUGAGACACGGCCCAGACUCCUACGGGAGGCAGCAGUGUGGAAUCUUAGACAAUGGGGGAAACCCUGAUCUAGCCAUGCCGCGUGAGCGAUGAAGUCCUUAGGGUUGUAAAGCUCUUUCAGCUGGGAAGAUAAUGACGGUACCAGCAGAAGAAGCCCCGGCUAACUCCGUGCCAGCCGCCGCGGUAAAAC